rnacentral:rRNA from 1 species
CGGGAACAGCUCAAAUUUGAAAUCUGGCCCUCGGGUCCGAGUUGUAAUUUGUAGAGGAUGCUUUUGGUGCGGUGCCUUCCGAGUUCCCUGGAACGGGACGCCUUAGAGGGUGAGAGCCCCGUACGGUUGGACGCCUAGCCUCUGUAAAGCUCCUUCGAC